rnacentral:lncRNA from 1 species
UCCAAAACUCAAAUCAACUUCAUCAGUCUUCUGUUUCAAAUCUCUCAACCUCAAAAGCCUUCAUGGCCGAGAAAAUGAGAAGAUGGGUGUAGCACUUCAUGUAGGCCAAGUUUGAUUACAGUAACAACAGUGAACCUGCAAACAUUAGUGACUUGCAACAGUGAAGAUUUCUAGGACAACGG